CAGUCGCCGCGGGAAUACAGAGGAUGCAAGCGUUAUCCGGAAUGAUUGGGCGUAAAGCGUCUGUAGGUGGUGGUUUAAGUCCGUUGUGAAAGCCCUGGGCUCAACCUGGGAAUUGCAGUGGAUACUGGAUCACUAGAGUGUGGUAGAGGAUAGUGGAAUUUCCGGUGUAGCAGUGAAAUGCGUAGAGAUCGGAAGGAACACCAGUGGCGAAGGCGGCUACCUGGCCUAAUACUGACACUGAGGCACGAAAGCGUGGGGAGCAAACAGGAUUAGAUACCCCGGUAGUCCCUGUCUCUUAUAA
rnacentral:rRNA from 1 species